GAAAUCCAACAGCAAUGACUCUGGCCCUUCCUAGGGAGUCCUGUUCUUGCAGGACUGUGUGCAGAGAUCUGCCUGUGCUCUGGCCAGGGCAUUCACAGCAUCUGGGGAUGUCCUUGUUGGUCUCCCAAGUGUCCCAUCUGCUCUGGCCUCAGGCCUCGGUGAGAGCGGGAAGUCAAAGUGGAAUAGACAGUGCUCCGGUUGGGCUUUGCUUCAAUGGCAGCUGUAUAGCUGAAGCCUUUUGAAAGUCACGUUCACACUCCCUGCCCUAUAGGGCUGGCUGAAGUUAAUGACUGUGACAGACAGACGGAUGGGCAGAGUCUGAUCUGGAGAACGGAGGGACUCUCUCAUUGUAACCAUCACUUGCGAAGAGCGUUUAUAUGUGGGGUCUUGCACUUCUCAGCAGUACCACAGCUUUUCUCCCCACUUCUCCCUCUGUCCCCAUCCUCCUCCCGCCUCAUGGUCCUUCUGGGCGAGGAGAACUGGACACAGCUGGCUGCAGCACCCACCAGAGCCAGUGGGGGCGCUGCGCAGCCCCACCAGGUGCUCCUUCUUUCAGGACAGAGUAGAGGGCCUGCUGGGUCUGGUUUCUAUGGGGCGUAGUCCAGCUGGGGUUCCCAAAUCCCUGGGCAGGCCACAGCAGGGUAGCAGCUCCUGGCAGCUUGCAGCCGUGCUCCCAGCUGGGCUGCUGGGGCUGAGAGCUGGCUGGGAGUGCGUGGGGGAGGUUGGCUGAGGCCAUUUUGCUGCCUAUUCCCGUUCAGCACAGACAGAUCUGUCACGGUUGGGCCUCCUGUUACCAUGGAAACAGAGGAGUCCACACCAGCUCAGCACUGGCAUUUCGAGCUGUGCUGAUGGAAAAUUUUACCAGCUGCUUCUGCUUAGGAAGUGGAAGGGACAGAAGUGCCGGAGCUUAGCGUUCGAGCUGGUGUGGUAGCCUCUGUGCAAGGACAAAUCAGACCAUGGUCCUGUGCAUCCUGAGAUAAAGGGGCAGCAGAGCCCUAGAGGGCAGGUGUGUGCAGGGAUCUGGACACAGAGAAUGGCCGACACCCUGUUUCCUGGCAACUGAUGACCUGGGCCCUUCCCCUCUGCAAGGUGAGAGCUGAAGGGUUGGAGAACAAAGGAAUCAGGUGACCACCUGGCCCGGGAAAGGAACAAAGCCCAGAGGAGGAGGGGCUGGAGGGGGUUUUCAGUUUGGGGCUGGCUGGGACAUGGAGUGAAGUGCAGACGUGGUUGUCUGGCUCACUGCCCCCCAAAAUGGACCCAGCUGAGGGGUCCCGUUCUCUGCACCUGCAAGCUCUGUUUUAGACCAUGUUCCUGUCGUCUAAUAAACCUUCUGUUUUACUGGCUGGCUGAGAGUCACGUCUGACUGCGGAGUUGGGGUGCAGGACCCUCUGGCUUCCCCAGGACCCCGCCUGGGCGGACUCGCUGGGGGAAGCGCACGGAGGGGCAGAGGAUGCUGAAUGCUCCGAGGUCAGACCCAGGAAGGUGGAAGCUGUGUGAGCUGUGUGUCCUGAAGACAGGCUGCUCACAGAAAGGCGACUGCCCCAGAGUCCUGACUGGCUUCAUGGGGAGCAGUUCCAGAGCAUCGCCCAGGGACUCCGUGACAACUGGUGGCAGCGGUGGGAUGUACUGCACCCCGUGGAUGGCGCUUCCUGCAGUAAGUGACUGGGGAGCAGUAACACGAAGGGGGAUUGCCGAGGACCAGGCCUGCUGAAGGCUCAGAGAGGAGCGGUUUCGAGGGGCGGUUAACCCCUGGGAGUGUGUGACCAGUGAGAAGGACUGUGCAGUAAUGGGGUCCCCCUGGGGACUGCAGUGAGCAGUCUCAGGGGCGGAGGAGUCUGCAGCUCGACCCUGGCAAAGAGGUGGUGACCUCGAGAAGGGCUGGCACACUAGGGGUUCUCCCUGGAAACCGUGGGGAGCUGAGAACACACGGGCCUGUGAGUCCACAACAACUUGGGAGGAGCGGAGUGAUGGCCUGUCACUGUCUCCUUAAGAAGGACAUUGUCACCCUGUGCAAAAAGAGAGGGUUGAGCGUUGGAAAGUUCACCAAAGCAGAGUUAAUCGUGCAGCUGGAGGAGAAUGACCGCUCUAAGGGACAGAUUCCUGACCCCAACUGGGGCUAUAGCAGGAUCUGGGAGCAGCUGGAGCGGGAGCCAGGCAUCGCCAAGACUCCUGUCCCCGACCAGACGGGGGUCUUCACGAUCGGGUUCCCCAUCGGGGGAUCGAGACGGACGGGAUUGGAGCUGAGUCCGAGAGCAAGAGGACCGUGGGAGACAGCGAGAGCCCGAGAAAGAGCUGCAGAAGCAGCAGCAGCAUGAACUGGCGGUGGUGGGGCGGAGAGGCCUAGGGGACCUCCCCGGGGUGAGUGGGGAUAGAUCCCGGGGGCCAGUUCCGCAGGGAACCUCGAGACUAAAUUGCUGCCCCUGGUUAAGGAGGGGGGGGGGGUAUGGAUGCCCACCUCACUGCCUUUGAGCAGGCUGGCGAUUUGAACCAGGGGGACCCUGCGGAAAAGCCCCGGUGUCUAGCUCCCUUGCUGGGUCCCAAGGCCAUAGACUCCGUCGGCCAGAUAGUUGGGGAUGUGGACAGGCUCCCACUCCUGACCCCAACCUAUAUGUCUGUGUGGAGUUUCCUGGGGCCAGGCCCCUCGGACCUCCAGUGGGAGCAGAAGGUGAUGGUCAAUGGGGAGACAUUCUUGGGGUGGCCAAAGGGCAUGGGCUGCAUAAACCUUCCCACAUGCGGCCUGCGAGUGCUAUCGACCACCCCUGACCUAAGGGAGGGGGCGAAACUGGAAGGGCCUGGUGUAACUCCUACCAAGGAAUGGGAGAGAUGCUGGGGCAUCCAUGGGAACGUUGGUGGCUUCGAACUUCCCCAGGUCACCGGCUAAAGUGACCCCGCUCAGUUCGAUCUCGAAGGGGGGAGAGAUGUGACGAAGUGGGACUGUUCUUAAUGUUUCCUCUGAAUAGUGGGGGGGGGGGUGCCUCAGUUUCCCCUAGGCAGUUCUUAAGUAUCUAGGGGGUGGAGUAAGGGUGUAUGAUCAUUGCAGAGCCCUAGAGGGCAGGUGUGUGCAGGGGUCUGGACACAGAGAAUGGCCGACACCCUGUUUCCUGGCAACUGAUGACCUGGGCCCUUCCCCUCUGCAAGGUGAGAGCUGAAGGGUUGGAGAACAAAGGAAUCAGGUGACCACCUGGCCCGGGAAAGGAACAAAGCCCAGAGGAGGAGGGGCUGGAGGGGGUUUUCAGUUUGGGGCUGGCUGGGACAUGGAGUGAAGUGCAGACGUGGUUGUCUGGCUCACUGCCCCCCAAAAUGGACCCAGCUGAGGGGUCCCGUUCUCUGCACCUGCAAGCUCUGUUUUAGACCAUGUUCCUGUCGUCUAAUAAACCUUCUGUUUUACUGGCUG